ensembl:lncRNA
GGAAAAAAGAAAGGAAGAAGGAAAGAAGAGUGGAAGAAGGAAAGAAGAAAGGAAAGAAGAGUGGAAGAAGGGAAGAAGAAAAGGAAAGAAGAGUGAAGAAAGGAAAGAAGAGUGAAAGAAGGAAAGAAGUGGAAGAAGGAAAGAAAAAGAAAGAAGAGUGGAAGAAGGAAAGAAGAGUGGAAGAAGGAAAGAAGAAGAGUGGAAGAAGGAAAGAAUAAUAUUCCUAGUUAUACAGUUGAAUUGAGAGGGACAGAGAGAGAAGAGGAGCCUUGGAACCUUGGCGCAGGUGUCAGUGAAGCACAGGUGCAAGCCAGUUUAAUGACCCUAUUAUGAUGUCAUAAUGGCCCAAUGUAAGUCAAUGGGAAAAUUUGUAUUCGUUUUUAUUUAAUAUCUUAAAAAGUAUAAAGUUUAGAAAAAUGAAAAAUACAUAGC